UACGUAGGGGCCGAGCGUUGUCCGGAGUUAUUGGGCGUAAAGCGCGCGCAGGCGGCUUCGCGCGCCCGACGUGAAAGCCCCCGGCUUAACCGGGGAGAGUCGUUGGGGACGGCGGAGCUUGAGGGCGGGAGAGGUCGGUGGAAUUCCCGGUGUAGUGGUGAAAUGCGUAGAGAUCGGGAGGAACACCUGUGGCGAAGGCGGCCGACUGGGCCGACCCUGACGCUGAGGCGCGAAGGCGUGGGGAGCGAACGGG
rnacentral:rRNA from 1 species